AUAGACUGAAAAUCCCCCCCACUGCAUCAGUCAGUGGGGGGAAGAUACCUGUGCCAACAGUAAUGUGGCGCAUCAAAGCUUAUUUCCAGUCCCUGUGACUGUGCAAUCAAACCCAUGUGCCCACACUC
ensembl:snoRNA